rnacentral:lncRNA from 1 species
CAUACUGGUGUGUUAAUACCACUCCCUACUGUGUGCUUAAUACCACUCCAUACUAGGUGUUAAUACCACUCCAUUCUAGGUGUGUGCUAAUACCACUCCAUACUAGGUGUGUUAUACCACUCCAUUCUAGGUGUGCUAAUACCACUCCAUUC